rnacentral:rRNA from 1 species
GAUGAACGCUGGCGGCGUGCUUAACACAUGCAAGUCGAACGAACCUUCGGGUUAGUGGCGGACGGGUGAGUAACGCGUGAGAAUCUGCCCUCAGGAGGGGGGAUAACGGCUGGAAACGGCCGCUAAUACCCCAUAUGCCGAGAGGUGAAAUGAAUUUCGCCUGAGGAUGAGCUCGCGUCUGAUUAGCUUGUUGGUGGGGUAAUGGCCUACCAAGGCGACGAUCAGUAGCUGGUCUGAGAGGAUGAUCAGCCACACUGGGACUGAGACACGGCCCAGACUCCUACGGGAGGCAGCAGUGGGGAAUUUUCCGCAAUGGGCGAAAGCCUGACGGAGCAACGCCGCGUGAGGGAUGAAGGCCUCUGGGCUGUAAACCUCUUUCUCAAGGAAGAAAGAUCUGACGGUACUUGAGGAAAUAAGCCACGGCUAAUUCCGUGCCAGCAGCCGCUGUAAU